rnacentral:rRNA from 1 species
GACGGAAGGUGCAAGCGUUGCUCGGAAUCACUGGGCGUAAAGGGUGCGUAGGCGGCCGUGCAAGUCUGGCGUGAAAGCCCCGGGCUCAGCCCGGGAAGUGCGCUCGAAACUGCGCGGCUCGAGUGCCGGAGGGGAGAGUGGAAUUCCUGGUGUAGCGGUGAAAUUCGUAGAUAUUAGGAAGAACACCAGUGGCGAAGGCGGCUCACUGGUCCGGUACUGACGCUGAGGUGCGAAAGCGUGGGGAGCAAACAGG